rnacentral:rRNA from 1 species
CGAACGCUGGCGGCGUGCUUAACACAUGCAAGUCGAACGCGAAAGAGUUCUUCGGAACUCGAGUAGAGUGGCGCACGGGUGAGUAACGCGUAAAUAAUCUACCCUGAUGUCUGGGAUAACCAGCCGAAAGGCUGACUAAUACCGGCUAUAUGAUUUUUUGUAGGGAAGAUCAGGAAAGGUGGCCUCUAUUUAUAAGCUAUCGCAUUGGGAUGAGUUUGCGUACCAUUAGCUAGUUGGUGGGGUAAUGGCCUACCAAGGCUACGAUGGUUAGCGGGUCUGAGAGGAUGAUCCGUCACACUGGCACUGGAACACGGGCCAGACUCCUACGGGAGGCAGCAGUGAGGAAUAUUGCGCAAUGGGGGAAACCCUGACGCAGCGACGCCGCGUGAGUGAGGAAGGCCUUCGGGUCGUAAAGCUCUGUCAGAUGGGAAGAAGUGUAAUGUAGUUAAUACCUGCAUUAUUUGACGGUACCAUCAAAGGAAGCACCGGCUAACUCC